UACGAAGGGGGCUAGCGUUGCUCGGAAUCACUGGGCGUAAAGCGCACGUAGGCGGACUCUUAAGUCAGGGGUGAAAUCCUGGAGCUCAACUCCAGAACUGCCUUUGAUACUGGGAGUCUUGAGUUCGGGAGAGGUGAGUGGAACUGCGAGUGUAGAGGUGAAAUUCGUAGAUAUUCGCAAGAACACCAGUGGCGAAGGCGGGCUACUGGGCUGAUACUGACGCUGAUGCGCGAAAGCUAGGGGAGCAAACAGG
rnacentral:rRNA from 1 species